rnacentral:tRNA from 1 species
GGGAGUAUAGCUCAGGGGUAGAGCAUGUGCCUGGUAUGCAUGCGGUCCUGGGCUCGAUCCCCAGGGCCUCCG